GAGUAGCUGUGACUACAGGCACCCGCCACCAUGCCCGGCUAAUUUUUUGUAUUUUUAAUAGAGAGGGUUUCACCGUGUUAGCCAGGAUGGUCUCAAUCUCCUGACCUCAUGAUCCAACCGCCUUGGCCUCCCAAAGUGCUGGGAUUACAGGCGUGAGCCACCCGCCUGGCUGCAUCCGUUGCAUUCCUAGACACCUGACUCACGGAGCAUUUAUGAGGGAUAGUUGCCUCCGAGUGUCUCAUGCUUUUUGUCAGCCUCUCUCUCUGCCAUUACUCUGAUAAAUCUCCGUCCGCUGCCACUCUCUUCUCCUGCAGGGACCAGUUCUAGGACCUGGUGUAGGGUCUCUGGGACCCAAAGUUCAUCAGUGAGUUCUUCCUCCAGAUUUUUCAAGCAGGACCCGAGAGAGAAAAUCCAUGUUCCUCCACACUCUUGGAAUUUUUAGGGCGUGGGCCUCGAGGCUGUUGGUAGACAAGAGCUCCUGCUGUGUGGACAGGAUGAUGGCCUCUAAGAAGCCUCAAACCCCAGCAGUCUGGCUGAGACCAUUGUGUUGUCCCAGCGUGUGACAGUGAGGGGACACUCAGGACACACAAGGCCGUGGUGGAGCGAAGCUUCUGGGCCCGCACCGUCCUCGUGUGAACGCUAUGUCUGCCUUUCCUGCAACGUGCUCACCUGGGCCUGCACGGAGCUCCUCUCACGUAAGUUUCCCCACUGCGAGCCCUUCGAGAACAAUGUCAUGUUGAUCGAUGGCAGUGACUCACGCCAGACCUUUCCAUGCCUCCUCUGCAAGGACUCAGGAGAGUCGAGAGCAAAACCAUGCCAUAGCUCCAUGAAGGAGGGCAAAGAGCUUUAUCCACGCUGAAGAACAGGCGGAUCUCGUGGCUACAGCAUUGGUCUUUACCUUUUAACUGCUUGAUUCGAAACAUUCCAGCCAGGUAUGGUGUGAGCCACCGUAAUCCCAGCACUCUGGGAGGCCAAGGCGGGUGGAUCACUUGAUCUCAGGAGUUUGAAACCAGCCUGGGCAACCUGGCAAAACCCCAUCUGUACAAAAAAAUACAAAAAUUAGCCAGGCGUGGUGUGUGUGCCUGUGGUUCCAGCUACUCGGCAGGCUGCGGCUGGAGGGCCACUUGAGCCCAGGAAGUGGAGGUUGCAGUGAGCUGAGAUCAUGCCAGUGCACUCCAGCCUGGGUGAUAGAGCCAGACAUUGUCUCCAAAAAAAAAAGAAGAAAAAGGAGAAAUAGUCCAAGACUAUGGAGAAAGCCUUCUUUGGGGUCAGUGUGAACCAUUCUUUCAUUCGUUCAACAAAUGCUUACUGAGGAGCUACCAUGUCCCGGAAAUUGCCUCCACCUCCAGGAAGACAGUGGUGAGCAAGUCAGACAAUCUCUAAUCUCAUGGAAUUUAUAAAUAAAUGGGCCGUUACAAUUACCAGAUCAGAAGUGCUGUGAUGAGCAAAUAGAGGCUCAUGGGAAACUCCUAAGAAGGGCUUCUGAGCUGGACUUGGGGGUCAGGAAAGGCAGAAUGCGGGGGCUGACUCAUCCAGAC
rnacentral:lncRNA from 1 species